rnacentral:snoRNA from 1 species
CGCUGUAAAAAAAUCUGGGGAAAAUGAUUGACCAGCAGAUGGUUCAGAUUGAAAACUAUGAAGGCUAUGUUACCAUAGCCCUCCAUCAUAUGGAUCAGCGUAACA